GGGGAAGCAUUUCAGAAACAACUGGCUUCCAUUGGAAGUAAAGAAGAUGGAGACUGCGCGGGGGAUGCUGGGAUUCGUAUGCGCCAUCCUGACUCCGCCUCUUCCUCUGUACAGGAAGAGGAGGAGCGAACAGGGAACGCAAAACCAAUACGUCUUUGACGUCUGUUUGUAAAAAUACAUAAGGAAGGAAAAGUGAGAUGGAUACGUUCGUGGGGCCGGGGAUUGCCAUGGAGAUGGAAGUUGCUGCAGAGGAGGUGGUGUUGACACAGGAUGAUGUUGAGGCAAAAGCUGAUUUGAAGGCCCUUGCAGAUGCUCCAGUCUGCCAAAAUUCAGUUUUUCAAGAUAUUACUGCUGAAUAUAAUUCAGAACAUGUUUGUUACCCUGGGGACUCCAGUGAGGAUGAGUACAGUUCUGAUGACCUGACACUACCUGUGGUGACUCGGCAUAAAGCAGAUAAGAUGAGGGCACGCUGUGCCAAAGAUGACUGUGUGUGCUGGGAGUGUGGCAAGCGUUUCCAGUCUCUAACCCUCCUGAUGCGUCAUUUCCGCACUCACAAGACACAGGUGCAUUGCAACAUUUGUCAGGUGACCUUCAGGAGGAUGGUGUCUCUUAGCAUGCAUCUGGAGAACGUCCAUAACAAUAUUAAGCUCUUCUGUACUGCCUGCCAUCUGUUCUUUGACAGUAAGUGGGACCUCAACAAGCACCUUGAGGAACAUGGUGACCUUGAGUCACCACCGCUUUUGCAGGGAUCGCCCUCGAGGUCAGAGUCUCACAGGAGAACGGGUACUGUGCUUUCUGAAUUAACCAGAAAUCUGGACAGUUCUGAGUUACUUGUCCAGACAUCCACUUCCAUCAUUGGAGAAAAUAUGAAGGACUCUUGCAACCGAGACUCCUUUCAGGAAGUGAAUGACCUGCACACUUCAGUGGCUCAUGAGCCUGCAUACAACAGAAAUGGUAGCAAUGCUAAGAAGAAAAAUGGGAUUGUCACUACUACUUAUGCCCUGCGCAUGCGCCACACCAAGACACUCACCAAAGUCUUUCCCCGGGAGAGCUUACCAGAGAGUGCCCACAAGAAGAAAAUCCAGCUCUUUGUGUUCCGCAGUGUGGACAGGAGUCAGGUGUCCUAUAAUGGUGAUCAGGCUGAAACUGAGAAAGAAGAGAAGCAAGAGGAGGAAGGUGAAGAUGUCAAACCAGACAUCUCUUUAAAUCUGCCGUUACAUGGCAUUUCAGCCGCUGGGGGCCUAAGCAAGCAGGAAGUCAAGCAGGAGGAUGUGGUCACUGACAAUAUCCUCCCACUUUGGGAGGGAGCACCACUGGAGGAGAGCCAGUUAGAUGACUCAAUGGAGGAAAACCUCAGUGAUGGAGGAAACACCCUGCCCUCCUGGGAGUCCAGUACUGAUUCUGAUUCCAAAUUAGAUGAUAUCUCUGAUUCCACCACGUCUUCCUUCAGCAGUGGCAACUCUAGCGGUUCCUCCUACUGCCCUAAUCGUAGGAUGAGGAGGAUUAGAGCCAAGCGUAUAAAGCAGGUGGUUGUAGACAGGAAAAAGAAAAGUGGAUUGCUGCUUGCCCCUGAUGUUGUCACGGAACCGUCCAUGAAAUGUCCCUGCUGUGGUGGGGGACCAUAUGAUACACUAUCCCACUUGCAACGUCACAAGGCUGCCUGCAGAAAUAAUGCUGCACAUUGUACAGUCUGUAAUGUCAUUCUUCCUGAUGACAUUGCCCUGACGGAACACAAAGUCAAGGCCCACUCCUCUGUGAAACCCUCCUGCAUGUACGCUUGUGAAUCCUGUCGCGAGGUAUUUCCUACGCUGCUUGUGUACAAACGCCACCAGUGCAGCCUGCAGACUGCUUCCAAUACAGAAACUGCAACCUCUGACCCUCUCCAAGACCUGGUUGCUGAAUCUGUUACCGCUGUUGUCUCCAACCAUGUUUCCAGGCCUGCUAACCAUGUGACUGGCUCGUUUUCAACAGGGAAUCAAACAAAGCCCUGUUCUGUGCUCCCUUCCCCUCUUGGCCCCACCACUGCAUCUGCACCUAUGCAGGUUGAUUUGGGUCCUUCUAGUAGCUGCCAAAUCACUACCCCCAACUGCAGUCUGAAUUCUAGCAGUGUCACCGUUACAGGUGCUGUACAUAUGACUGUUCCGUGCUCCGUUCAGAAUUCCACAUUAGUCACUCCCGUCUCAGUGCCUUCUGGCUCAGGCUUUCCACUUCAAAGAAUCAUGCUGCCAGUGACCUCCCAGUCAGGGUCUAGGCCCAUAAUGGCCACUGUGCUUAUGAGUGGUAAUGGUACAACAGGGAGGGUGGCACGCAUGGUUCUUCAAUCCCAAGGGCUUACAUUCCCAACACCAACUGUGACACAAUCAGUUUUGCAGAAACAGCCUUUGGGACUUUCAUCUGUUCACCCUCAGACUCAAACUGUGAACCAUUCUCAAGCCUUGCCAUCACUGCAACUUGCUAACCUUUUGGUGAAAGGUAUCAUCCAACCAAAUACACUCAUCAGACCUCCCCAGCCUUGCGCUAUGAGUGCAACCCAGCAUUUGACUCCAUCCUCAGUCUCUGUUCAACUCCACAGUACAGCCCCACAUCCCAUUUUUGUUCCUGUCCCAGCCUCAGUUUCUGUACCACUUUGUAACCAAGUGCCAGUCUCUGUCCCAGUACCAAAACCUGGCCCAGUAUCUGUCCCACUUCUGGAACCUAAACCAGCUCCAGGCACUGUCAGCCUUCCUGUUUCUAGCGUUGCACAGGUUUCUUUAUUUGGACCUACACUUCCUGCUGGCCCUGCCUUUCUCCCAGCUGCAACUCCUCUCACCAUGCAUAACUCUAACACUGGUACAGGGUCACUGAGAAUUCUGGGGCUGUAUGUCAAUUGCAGUCAGGAAUUUGCAUUGCAGCAGCGUCUUCAGAAAAGUUGGCGAUCCAAGGGGAUGUUCCUAUGCCGGCAGUGCGGGGCCGUAUCCCGGCAGCCAUCGCUGUGUGUGCGUCACCGGUACCUCCAUCGUGGCUCCCGUCCCUACAGGUGUCAUUGUGGCCGGACGUUCCUGCGUCUGUUGCACCUCCUUCGUCACCACAUCCAGCAUGCUGAGGCAACUCGAUUCGUCUGUGCCCCUUGCGGCCAGACUUUCUCUGGUGCACAUGACCUGGCCAGGCAUAAGAAGGGCUGGAGCGGAGAGGGGAAGCGGAGGGGUAAGAUAAGAAAGGACUGCCAGGCACCGUUUUACUGUGACUGUGGCCAGUUCUUCCAGAGGCCUGCAGCAUUUCUGUGGCACAAACUCAAAAACCCAGACCGUUUGAAGAGGGUUUAGAGCAUGGAACUUGUGAGUUGUUGGACAUCUUCGGGAGAUGCCCAAGAGAUUAUUUUCAGUUAAAUUUAAGCUGUAUGAUUGGAUAUCACUUUUGGUUUUUUGCAGUCACAAUAAAAUGUGGUUCGAUUUCA
rnacentral:lncRNA from 1 species